rnacentral:ncRNA from 3 species
UAUGCUUGUCUCAAAGAUUAAGC